GGCUUCGGUCUGCUGCCUCGGGCGCCCACCUCCCACCCGUGACUACCUAACACUGUUGCUUCGGCGGGGAGCCCUCUCGGGGGCGAGCCGCCGGGGACUACUGAACUUCAUGCCUGAGAGUGAUGCAGUCUGAGUCUGAAUAUAAAAUCAGUCAAAACUUUCAACAAUGGAUCUCUUGGUUCCGGCAUCGAUGAAGAACGCAGCGAACUGCGAUAAGUAAUGUGAAUUGCAGAAUUCAGUGAAUCAUCGAGUCUUUGAACGCACAUUGCGCCCCCUGGCAUUCCGGGGGGCAUGCCUGUCCGAGCGUCAUUGCUGCCCAUCAAGCCCGGCUUGUGUGUUGGGUCGUCGUCCCCCCCGGGGGACGGGCCCGAAAGGCAGCGGCGGCACCGUGUCCGGUCCUCGAGCGUAUGGGGCUUUGUCACCCGCUCGAUUAGGGCCGGCCGGGCGCCAGCCGACGUCUCCAACCAUUUUCUUCAGGUUGACCUCGGAUCAGGUAGGGAUACCCGCUGAACUUAAGCAUAUCAAUAAGCGAAGGAA
rnacentral:rRNA from 1 species